GAUGAACGCUGGCGGCGUGCCUAAUACAUGCAAGUCGAGCGAACAGACGAGGAGCUUGCUCCUCUGACGUUAGCGGCGGACGGGUGAGUAACACGUGGAUAACCUACCUAUAAGACUGGGAUAACUUCGGGAAACCGGAGCUAAUACCGGAUAAUAUAUUGAACCGCAUGGUUCAAUAGUGAAAGACGGUUUUGCUGUCACUUAUAGAUGGAUCCGCGCCGCAUUAGCUAGUUGGUAAGGUAACGGCUUACCAAGGCAACGAUGCGUAGCCGACCGGAGAGGGUGAUCGGCCACACUGGAACUGAGACACGGUCCAGACUCCUAAGGGAGGCAGCAGUAGGGAAGCUUCCGCAAUGGGCGAAAGCCUGACGGAGCAACGCCGCGUGAGUGAUGAAGGUCUUCGGAUCGUAAAACUCUGUUAUUAGGGAAGAACAAAUGUGUAAGUAACUGUGCACGUCUUGACGGUACCUAAUCAGAAAGCCACGGCUAACUACGUG
rnacentral:rRNA from 1 species